GUGUCAGCAGCCGCGGUAAUACGAAGGGGGCUAGCGUUGUUCGGAAUCACUGGGCGUAAAGCGCAUGCAGGCGGAUCGAUAAGUCGGGGGUGAAAGCCCGAGGCUCAACCUCGGAACUGCCUUCGAUACUGUCGAUCUUGAGUCCGGGAGAGGUGAGUGGAACUCCGAGUGUAGAGGUGAAAUUCGUAGAUAUUCGGAAGAACACCAGUGGCGAAGGCGGCUCACUGGCCCGGUACUGACGCUGAGAUGCGAAAGCGUGGGGAGCAAACAGGAUUAGAUACCCUGGUAGUCC
rnacentral:rRNA from 1 species